rnacentral:rRNA from 1 species
CCUACGGGUGGCAGCAGUAGGGAAUUUUGCGCAAUGGGGGAAACCCUGACGCAGCAACGCCGCGUGAUCGAUGAAGCCCUUCGGGGUGUAAAGAUCUGUCAGUGGGGACGAAACCUGACGGUACCCACAGAGGAAGCACCGGCUAACUCCGUGCCAGCAGCCGCGGUAAUACGGGGGGUGCAAGCGUUGUCCGGAAUCAUUGGGCGUAAAGAGUUCGUAGGUGGCACGUUAAGUCUGGUGUUAAAGGCGGAAGCUCAACUUCCGUAGGGCACUGGAUACUGGCGAGCUUGAAUGCGGUAGAGGUAAAGGGAAUUCUCGGUGUAGCAGUGAAAUGCGUAGAUAUCGAGAGGAACACUCGUGGCGAAGGCGGGUUCCUGGACAUUAACUGACGCUGAGGCACGAAGGCCAGGGGAGCGAAAGGGAUUAGAUACCCGAGUAGUC